rnacentral:rRNA from 1 species
GCGCGACCCUUGCUGAGAUAGCACCCCUUGUGUUUGGGCACCGUACGUUUCCUCGGCAGGUCCGCCUGCCAGCGAGGACCCCAUGGAACCUCCCGUAGUGUGCAGUAACCGUCACAAAGCUACAAAAUCAAAACUUUCAACAACGGAUCUCUUGGUUCUGGCAUCGAUGAAGAACGCAGCGAAAUGCGAUAUGUAGUGUGAAUUGCAGAAUUCAGUGAAUCAUCGAAUCUUUGAACGCACAUUGCGCCCUUUGGUAUCCCUUAGGGCAUGCCUGUUCGAGCGUCAUCUGACCCUCCAAGCACCGCUUGAUGUUGGGCGCUUGUCGCGCACUCCGAGCCCCUCGAGCGGGGAGCCCGGGCGCGCGACUCGCCCCGAAACUAUUGGCGGCCUGAGCAUCGGGCUUCGAGCGCAGCAGACCAGCGCCUCGUACCCUUCGCGCAGGCACCCAGGAAGCCGGGCCCCGGGCCCAUCAGACGACUUGACCUCGGAUCAGGCAGGGUUACCCGCUGAACUUAAGCAUAUC